ensembl:lncRNA
UGCCCACAGACUCGUGCAGGACUUCAGGUCCUACCGGAGGAGUGUUUCGGGGCUCCGGAAGGCCCAACGCACCGCUGUGCCCAUCUCACCGAGGUAACCAACGCAUCUCAGCAGCACAACAAGAACGGGAUUUGUUCCUACCGCUCCAUGCCCAGACCUUAUGUGGGAACUUUCCUGGCUAAAUGCUGCUGCUGGUGGGAUGAUGUAACCCAGUGACUCCCAGGCUGGCAUUCUGCGGGUGAGAUUGAUGGCAACGUCUCGUCGAUAAAUCCAUACAGACCCCAAACCUGUGAUGAACGUGCAGGAGGACGUAGUCUGAACAUAAGCAAGGUCAAAAAGACUCCCGACACGUGCUGAGCACCAGAAGUUUCUCUCAGCCUCCAGCAAGGCAUUUCUCUGCAUCGGGGCCGAACUCUUCCUUGGACACCGUGGGCAGCCGGUGCCACUUCCCGAGCCAAAGAGGUGGAGAUGGCUCAGGGGCCAGGGAGGAUGCACGGGGUCCUUCCCUCCUGCACCCCGCUCCCAUCUCACACCUUUGGUACUCCAGGAGGGACGGGACGGGACGGGACAGGACAGGACAGGACACCCCCACCACCGUGGGGCUGAGGACAGAGGUGAGCACCUGCUGUUGAUGAUGUUUGUUUGCUUCUUUGCUUGUUUCCCUUCCCCUGCUUCUGCCCUGUGGCUCCUCCACAGGGACAGUGUGGUGGCCACACUCACCCCCCCAGUCCCUCUGUGCCCCCCUGGUCCCUCUGUGCCCCCCCGGUCCCUCUGCGCCCCCAGCCCUGCGGUGACAGCAGGGCCCAGGGCUGCUCCGUGCAGGCUGCGGUGCUGUGCUGGGGUUUGGACUCAUCCGGUCAGCUGGUGAUUUCAAAACAGUAAUCAGAAGGGGAAAAAAAUAGGAAAAGAAAAGAACUCUUGCAAUAAUUUACCUUCCAACAGCGUGGACGCAUUUUGUGCACCCUGAUGGAAAGCACUGGAGGAUUCCUGACGCAGUGGACCCCCUAGCGCUGGAAAAGCUGCCAUCGCAGCUAAUCCCGGCGAGUGGUGGGUUUGGGCACUGACUGAUGCCCUGUAAUGAUGCUUAAGAAAUACAGGCAAACUCCGCUUUCCAUUGAUCUCAGAAAAAUGAAUGCUGUCUCUAAAUUUGACGUUUAGCCAAUGCACGGAGUAGAUGGCUCCAUUGAUUCGCAUCGGAGGGACGGAGGCGGGGGGAGCUCGGGGAAACACACCUUUGGCAAGCGGAGGUUUGUCUCCGCUCUCUCCUGUCACUCUCCAUCUUUCCCAAGCGCCUGCCCUUUUCCAGAGGGGAACGGAGAGCAGGGGGCAGACAAGGGGGCUUUGGCAUUUUUAAGCUUGAAUGCAGGUGGGGGGAGAUGGAAAACUGAGGCUUAAGCAUCUGGAGAGGGACAUAAAAAGAACUGGCUGGGGUAACAGUGAGAGUCUGCCUGGGCAUCUUGGGGUCAUAGGGGUUUUUCCCUCACCAUCUGUAUUUCUCCAGGAAAUUGUUGGGGAAUGAUGGAGUGGGAGCUGCUCUGCAUCUUCUGGCUGCGGAGCUCGGCCUGAGCCCUCUCCCCAGGGCCCCGGGGCGGCCGGUAGCAUGCAGCUGCUGGAGGUGCCGGCUGUGGCCCUGCAAACUCCC